rnacentral:tRNA from 1 species
UCCCUCUUAGUUCAGUUGGUGCUUUUUAUUGGGAAGAUUAGCGGACUCUUAAUCCGUGUAUCACGGGUUCAAGUCCAGUAGAGUGAA